ensembl:lncRNA TXNDC11-AS1 TXNDC11 antisense RNA 1
GUAAUCCGAGCUACUCAGGAGCUGAGGCAGAAGAACCCCUUGAACCCGGGAGGCGGAGGUUUCAGUGAGCCGAGAUCGCGCCACUGCACUCCUGCCUGGGACACAAUGCGUGACUCCGUCUCAAAAUAAAAAUAAUCGUUAGAUCAAUGAGUGCGGGAAUUCUAAAAGGGGUCUGGAACUCUCGCAAGGUUGUGGAUCACUACACCUGAAGCUUAAGGGGAAUGAAAUCGGUGAGAAAUGAGGGUCCUACAGCCCGGGCCGAAGUGACAGGUCCACCCCUAGUGACUCCAACAGGUGAGGAGCACCCCCGACCCGCCUCCCUCGGCACUAAAGCGGGACGAUAGGGCGCAGGGCUCCACCCGGAAGCCUCGCCAUAAUGUCCGCGGGCGGGCCGGGGCGAGGAGAAGGUGGGAAGCCGUGGCCGCAGGUUCCGGGAGGGGUCAGCCGUCCUGGGCAAGGUCAGGCCCGACUUCCCCGGCUGAGGCCGCUGCGACCCGGCCCUGCAGGCUCCAGGCGGCAGAGCAAGGGGAGCGCCCUAGCGGGGCCCCAGGGUCCGGGCCGCCUCACCUGCAGGUGAACUUGAGGGCGAGGAGCAGCGCGCAGCCGAGCGCCACGGCCCCGCAGAGCAGCUCCGGCCGCUGGCGCGCCAUGAGGAAGGCGCCACGCAGCCCGCGACGGAGCCGGCCCGCCGAGGACGCUGUGGCCAGGGUCGGGCUCGAGCUGAGGCAGUCUGAGCCCGCGGGGCCGCCGCCGCCCCCUCCCUCGUCCUCGGCGUCCUCGCUGCUGCUGCUGCCGCCGCCGCGGCCUCCGCAUUCCGACAUUACAUGCUCCCAGUCGCCGGCUUUAUACCGCCGCCGCCGCCUCGGGCCCGAAGGCCCGGCCCGGCCCGUUGCUCCCCAAUCCCGCAGCUCGCCGCACCCGCUAACCCGGACGCUCCACGUCAGCCGCGCCGCCGCCGCGGGGUCCGCCCCACCUCACACCCCAGAGCACGCAGCUCCGCCCACCGCUCACGGAGUCCGGGCGGGCACCGACACCGCCCAAAUCCCCGCCCCCAACGGGCCACGCCCUGCACCCUACGUAAAUGCACGGAAGCCUUCCCCGCCCGCAGCCCAGUCUUGGCCCCACCGGUCACGACCCCGCUCACGGAGUCUGCGCAGGCGCCGUCGCGGGGCGUGGAGAAGCUGCUCCCUUGGGAUAAGGCCCGCGGGGAAUACUUGGAACCUUGACACCGCUGUAGUCUGCUCUCGCCGCGCUGGGUUUUAGGAGCCGUAACGACAAUAAUCGUGUCCACCAUUCUCACUACAGGCCCCGAAGCACGUAGGUGCCGUUUUUUAUCCCAACUUAACUGAAGAAAAAAAAAACACGGCCGGGCGCGGUGGCUCAAGCCUGUAAUCCCAGCACGUUGGGAGGCCAAGGCGGGCAGAUUACAUGAGACCAGGCGUUCAAGACCAGCCUGGCCAACAUGGUGAAACCUCGUCUCUACUAAAAAUACAAAUAUAUUAGCCGGGCGUGGUGGCGGGCGCCUGUAAUCCUAGCUGCUUGGGAGGCUGAGGCAGAGAAUUGCUUGAACCCUGGAGGCGGAGGUUGCAGUGAGUGGAGAUGGCGCCACUGCACUCCCGUCUGGGGGAGAGAGAGAGAGAGACUCUUGUCUCAAAAAAAAAAAAAGGACUUGUCCUCCAAUGUCAAUAACAACAAACUAGACAAAUAAAACUUCGAGGGCAUUAAGGCAAUAUGGUGUUAUGCCACAAACAGAAGGCACAGCUAACGGCCAGUAGCUGAGACGCCACCUCUGCCACAGGUCAGCUAUGUGACCCACGUGCAAAUCUCAUCACUUCCUGUCUGGUUCUGCUUCUGUGGAUGUAGAAUGGGGCAAUCAAUGGCUGUCUUGCUCAAUUGGCCAGACAUUUAAUGUGUCAACCACCCAGGCCCAACAUGUUGUGAGUUCAUGUACACCGACCAUUUUGCUAUUUCUUUUCUAUAUGUCACUUUUUUUUUUUUUUUGGUUGUUUUUUGAUACAGGGUCUUGUGUCACCCAGGCUGGAGUGCAAUGGCGCAAUCAUAGCACACUGAAGCCUUGACAACCCCAGCUCAAGCGAUCCACCCCCGUCAGCCUCCCAAGUAGUAGGCAACACAGAUGUGUGCGACUACGCCCAGCUAAUUUUUUUUUUUUGUGGAGACAAGGUCUCUCCAUGUUGCCUAGGCUGGUCUUGAACUCCUGGGCUCAAGCGAUCUUCCCCCUUCGACCUCCCAAAGCGUUAGGAUUAUGUAAAAGCAUGAGUCACUGCGCCCACCUGUCACAUCUUUUUGUUUCUUCUAUACUGCCUUAUUUUGUAGAAAGUAGCUAUUUUCUCGUAUAACAUUAAUUCCUUUAUUUUUAACUUGUCCCUCAUCUCUGUUUUGUGUUAUUAUUACCCUUAUUAUCUAUGUUACAAACCCAACCAUACAGUGUUAAUCUUGUUUUAAAAAGCUGAGAAAAAAUAUAUAGUUACAGAGUUUUUUUAACCUUCUAAUUUGCCACUUAUACUUCUGUUGAUUCCUUUGUGUAGAUUAGAGUUACACAAUUUAUUGCUAAAGAAAAUAAAUAUGGUCAAAAGUCA